rnacentral:rRNA from 1 species
CACUAUCCAACCCUAAAUACUACUACCAGAUCGAUAGCGAACAAGUACCGUGAGGGAAAGGUGAAAAGAACGGCGGUGAGCCGAGUGAAAUAGAACCUGAAACCAUUUGCUUACAAUCAUUCAGAGCUCCAUACUACAUUCCUUAGAGAAUUUAAAUAAGGGUGCGGUAUUUUGUAGGAAAUUUUGUGGCUUUUCAAGCUUUGCAAAUGAGACAUACUGCUUGUAUGUCGCAGUGUAGCAAAGCGAAGAAUCCGCAAAAUUUACACAAAAGACAAGCCCAAAGAUAACUUUUCUAAGGAGUGUAGUGGGGUGAUGGACUGCCUUUUGCAUAAUGAGCCUGCGAGUUGUGGUGUCUGGCAAGGUUAAGCAAACGCGAAGCCGUAGCGAAAGCAAGUCUGAAUAGGGCGUAGCCAUCUCUUUUAUGCAUAUAUUGAAAUUUAGGAGGAUAUGAUGGGAAGUGAAAAAAGCACUCAAGGUAUAAAAAUCCUUAUUUUUAACAAAAAACCUAAGAAAGAUGAAGAAAAAAAAGUUAGUGGCAUUGAACAACAAAAUGAUAAUGAAGGUAUUGUUGAUGUUUGGUUAAAGGAAAAAACGUAGCAACUGGAUAGGCGAAAGUAUUACAAAAGUUAUACCUGAAUUGAAAGCAUUCUUAUUUGAAAAAGGUGUAACUAUCAGUAGCGAUAAGCAAAAUACUGAUUAUCAGUAUGAAAUUGUUGUAGAAAUACCUAAAAAUAAACCAUAGAAUAAAUCCUAAAUAUCCCUAAUUGUAUGUAUAAAUGAGGUGGCUUUAGUCAGAUGCUGCAGACCCGAAACGAAGUGAUCUAUCCAUGAGCAGCUUGAAGCUAGUGUAAGAACUAGUGGAGGAGCGAACCCGCUAGCGUUGAAAAGCUAUGGGAUGACUUGUGGAUAGGGGUGA